AUGGUGAGAGCAAGAGAAAUGUUGGCUUGUGGUUGCACAGACUUGCAGUUCGAGGUGGAGCACAGAAAAAUGGACGAGGGCUGCGGCCACGGCGACACCUGGGGUGGAGAUCUACAACGUUGUCAAGCCGGGGCUUCUGCUAUCGACGUUGACCACGAUUCUAUCAAGAAGUAUAGAUGGGCGCGGCGUGCCGCAGUGCAGGUUAAGCUAGUUUAUAUUAGAGGGGUGAAAGUCAAAUGGGCGAGGUUACUGCUCCAGUGGCGGCGGACAUAUUCAUAUUCAGUAGAGGAAAAGACUGGGCGCCAAUUGUGUUGA
rnacentral:rRNA from 1 species